UUCAAUUGUUUCAAUUAAAAAAAAAAUCCUAUGGCUUUUCCAAGAGAGUAAUUUCCAAUCGACAGUUUCGUAAUUCAGGUCGCUAAUAGCUGACAAAAUUGUUUAUUCUCGGAUACAAGGAUUUAAAGAAAAUUUUGAUUUCUAUUCAUUUUGUUUUAUCUCACUCUUUGUUUUCAAAAGAACAUAUAAUAAGAUUAAAGACGCCGUUUGAGUAGUUUUUAGGUGAUCAUCAACGGAAGCCAUAAUCCUCACUUUAUACACACCCAAGCUCAUUAGUGUAAAUCACAAAUUAAUUGUUUG
rnacentral:lncRNA from 1 species